AGCUCCGUUCUUGGUUGGGCAACCCAGCGACACCCAGGGAAUCCCUUACCAGGCUCCGAAUGCUGCGUUCUUGGUAGCGAAACCCAGCGUCAGCCG